rnacentral:rRNA from 1 species
AAAACAUGUCCUUUAGAAUUUAAUUUAAGGUCUAACCUGCCCACUGAAUUAAAUGGCCGCAGUAUUUUAACUGUGCAAAGGUAGCAUAAUCAUUAGUCUUUUAAUUGAAGGCUUGUAUGAAUGGUUGGACGAAAUAUUAACUGUUUCAUAAAAAUUGAAUUAGAAUUUUAUUUUUUAGUUAAAAAGCUAAAAUAAUUUUAAAAGACGAGAAGACCCUAUAGAUCUUUAUAAUUUAUAUAUUGUAGUUAAUUAGAUUAAUUAAAUUAGGAUUAUAUAAAUUAUUUUGUUGGGGUGACAUUAAAAUUUAAUUAACUUUUAAUUAUUUUUUACAUUGAUUUAUGAUUAAUUGAUCCAUUAUUAAUGAUUAAAAAAUUAAGUUACCUUAGGGAUAACAGCGUAAUUUUUUUGGAGAGUUCAUAUCGAUAAAAAAGAUUGCGACCUCGAUGUUGGAUUAAAAUAUAAUUUUGGGUGCAGCAAUUCAAUUAUUAAGUCUGUUCGACUUUUAAUUUUUUACAUGA